AUUGAACGCUGGCGGCAGGCCUAACACAUGCAAGUCGAGCGAGCGGCGGACGGGUGAGUAAUGUAUGGGGAUCUGACCGAUAGCGGGGGAUAACUACUGGAAACGGUGGCUAAUACCGCAUACUAUCGGAUGAACCACUAUGGGAUUAGCUAGUAGGUGGGGUAAAGGCUCACAUAGCGCAGAACUCUAGCUGGUCUGAGAGGAUGACCAGCCACCCUGGGACUGAGACACGGCCCAGACUCCUACGGGAGGCAGCAGUGGGGAAUAUGGCGCAAUGGGGGCAACCCUGACGCAGCCAUGCCGCGGGAAUGAUGAAGGCCUUCGGGUUGUAAAGUUCUUUCGGUAGCGAGGCGUUAACUACAGAAGAAGCACCGGCUAACUCCGUGCCAGCAGCCGCGGUAAUUC
rnacentral:rRNA from 1 species